rnacentral:rRNA from 1 species
GGGUUGUGAGGUUAAGCGACUAAGCGUACACGGUGGAUGCCCUGGCAGUCAGAGGCGAUGAAGGGCGUGCUAAUCUGCGAUAAGCGCCGGUAAGGUGAUAUGAACCGUUAUAACCGGCGAUACCCGAAUGGGGAAACCCAGUGUGAUUCGUCACACUAUCAUUAACUGAAUCCAUAGGUUAAUGAGGCGAACCGGGGGAACUGAAACAUCUAAGUACCCCGAGGAAAAGAAAUCAACCGAGAUUCCCCCAGUAGCGGCGAGCGAACGGGGAGGAGCCCAGAGCCUGAAUCAGCAUGUGUGUUAGUGGAAGCGUCUGGAAAGGCGCGCGAUACAGGGUGACAGCCCCGUACACAAAAGCGUAUGUGCUGUGAGCUCGAUGAGUAGGGCGGGACACGUGGUAUCCUGUCUGAAUAUGGGGGGACCAUCCUCCAAGGCUAAAUACUCCUGACUGACCGAUAGUGAACCAGUACCGUGAGGGAAAGGCGAAAAGAACCCCGGCGAGGGGAGUGAAAAAGAACCUGAAACCGUGUACGUACAAGCAGUGGGAGCACCCUUUGGGGUGUGACUGCGUACCUUUUGUAUAAUGGGUCAGCGACUUAUAUUCUGUAGCAAGGUUAACCGAAUAGGGGAGCCGGAGGGAAACCGAGUCUUAAUUGGGCGUUAAGUUGCAGGGUAUAGACCCGAAACCCGGUGAUCUAGCCAUGGGCAGGUUGAAGGUUGGGUAACACUAACUGGAGGACCGAACCGACUAAUGUUGAAAAAUUAGCGGAUGACCUGUGGCUGGGGGUGAAAGGCCAAUCAAACCGGGAGAUAGCUGGUUCUCCCCGAAAGCUAUUUAGGUAGCGCCUCGUGAAUUCAUCUCCGGGGGUAGAGCACUGUUUCGGCUAGGGGGUCAUCCCGACUUACCAACCCGAUGCAAACUGCGAAUACCGGAGAAUGUUAUCACGGGAGACACACGGCGGGUGCUAACGUCCGUCGUGAAGAGGGAAACAACCCAGACCGCCAGCUAAGGUCCCAAAGUCAUGGUUAAGUGGGAAACGAUGUGGGAAGGCACAGACAGCCAGGAUGUUGGCUUAGAAGCAGCCAUCAUUUAAAGAAAGCGUAAUAGCUCACUGGUCGAGUCGGCCUGCGCGGAAGAUGUAACGGGGCUAAACCAUGCACCGAAGCUGCGGCAGCGACACUCAGGUGU